GGCAGGAAAAUGUGCUUGCGGUCGGUCAUUAAGGGGCCUCCAGCUAACUUUUAACCCCUGGAUGGAUUUGGCUGAUUUUUGGUUAUGUUUAUGUUUUAAGUGUGUUGAUUCCAAAUAUGUAAUUGUUAUGAAGAUUGGAUGUGUAGUUUUAAAGUUACAGUGUAUGGAUAAAAAACUUUAUUUUUACUGCCUGUGUUUAAUUAUGUUAACCCAUUGUGUACCAUAAUUAGAUCACAGGCAGAGGGGAGGAU